rnacentral:snRNA from 1 species
GUGCUUGCUUUGGCAGCACAUAUACUAAAAUUCAAACGAUACAGAGAAGGUUAGUGUGCCCCUGUGCAAGGAUGACAUACAAAUUCAUGAAGGGUUCCAAUUAAAA